rnacentral:rRNA from 1 species
AACGAACGCUGGCGGCAGGCUUAACACAUGCAAGUCGAACGGGCCCUUCGGGGUCAGUGGCAGACGGGUGAGUAACACGUGGGAACGUGCCCUUCAGUUCGGAAUAACCCAGGGAAACUUGGGCUAAGACCGGAUACGCCCCUUGGGGGAAAGAUUUAUCGCUGAAGGAUCGGCCCGCGUCUGAUUAGCUAGUUGGUGAGGUAAAGGCUCACCAAGGCGACGAUCAGUAGCUGGUCUGAGAGGAUGAUCAGCCACACUGGGACUGAGACACGGCCCAGACUCCUACGGGAGGCAGCAGUGGGGAAUAUUGGACAAUGGGCGCAAGCCUGAUCCAGCCAUGCCGCGUGAGUGAUGAAGGCCUUAGGGUUGUAAAGCUCUUUCGUCCGGGACGAUAAUGACGGUACCGGAAGAAGAAGCCCCGGCUAACUUCGUGCCAGCAGCCGCCGCCGUAA